rnacentral:ncRNA from 2 species
UUCAAUACACUAGGAUUAGGUACUCAAUCCUUACCGGAAAGAGUUAAAAGGGAAGCCGGUUCAAUUCCGGCACGGUCCCGCCACUGUGAAUUGAGUGAGUAAUCACUCUUAAGUCAGGAACCUGCCUAAUCAUCAGCGACCCU